rnacentral:misc_RNA from 1 species
CAGCAGCGGUAAUUCCAGCCCCAAUAGCGUAUAUUAGUGUUGUUGCGGUUAAAAAGCUCGUAGUUGAAUUUCGGGAUUGGGAUAUAUCGGUCGUGCCUUUAGGGGCAUGAAUCGGUGUGUGGCCAAUUCUCACCUUCUGGUGAAUUGGGAUGCUCUCGGGUGUUUCAAUGAACUAGGACUUUUACUUUGAAAAAAUUAGAGUGUUUAAAGCGGGCAUUUUUGCUUGAAUACGUUAGCAUGGAAUAAUAAAAUAGGACGAUGGUUCUAUUUUGUUGGUUUUAGGACCACGUAAUUAUUAAUAGGGAUAGUUGGGGGCAUUAGUAUUCAAUUGUCAGAGGUGAAAUUCUUGGAUUUAUUGAGGACUAACUACUGCGAAAGCAUUUGCCAAGGAUGUUUUCAUUAAUCAAGAACGAAAGUUAGGGGAUCAAAGACGAUUUAUGUACGUCGUAGUCUUAACCAUAAACUAUGCCGACUAGGAAUCAGACAAAGUUAAUUUUUUAACGACUUGUUUGGUACCUUACG